rnacentral:tRNA from 1 species
GGUCUGGGUGGAUAACGGAGAUGCCGCCGCUCUUGAGCAGCGGCUCGAAGCCUUCCUUGAGGUAUAUGUCCUCACCGGUGCA